GGUUAAGCGACUAAGCGUACACGGUGGAUGCCCUGGCAGUCAGAGGCGAUGAAGGACGUGCUAAUCUGCGAUAAGCGCCGGUAAGGUGAUAUGAACCGUUAUAACCGGCGAUUUCCGAAUGGGGAAACCCAGUGUGACUCGUCACACUAUCAUUAACUGAAUCCAUAGGUUAAUGAGGCGAACCGGGGGAACUGAAACAUCUAAGUACCCCGAGGAAAAGAAAUCAACCGAGAUUCCCCCAGUAGCGGCGAGCGAACGGGGAGGAGCCCAGAGCCUGAAUCAGCAUGUGUGUUAGUGGAAGCGUCUGGAAAGGCGCGCGAUACAGGGUGACAGCCCCGUACACAAAAGCGCAUGUGCUGUGAGCUCGAUGAGUAGGGCGGGACACGUGGUAUCCUGUCUGAAUAUGGGGGGACCAUCCUCCAAGGCUAAAUACUCCUGACUGACCGAUAGUGAACCAGUACCGUGAGGGAAAGGCGAAAAGAACCCCGGCGAGGGGAGUGAAAAAGAACCUGAAACCGUGUACGUACAAGCAGUGGGAGCCCCACCACCAAAGCAUUCUCUGGUGUUGAAGGCCCUGCAAAGCAGCAUCGCGGUGGCGGAGCGUCGUUUGCGACGCCCAACACACAAAACAAGCGGUGAAUGCUUUGGGGUGGGGUGACUGCGUACCUUUUGUAUAAUGGGUCAGCGACUUAUAUUCUGUAGCAAGGUUAACCGAAUAGGGGAGCCGGAGGGAAACCGAGUCUUAAUUGGGCGUUAAGUUGCAGGGUAUAGACCCGAAACCCGGUGAUCUAGCCAUGGGCAGGUUGAAGGUUGGGUAACACUAACUGGAGGACCGAACCGACUAAUGUUGAAAAAUUAGCGGAUGACCUGUGGCUGGGGGUGAAAGGCCAAUCAAACCGGGAGAUAGCUGGUUCUCCCCGAAAGCUAUUUAGGUAGCGCCUCGUGAAUUCAUCUCCGGGGGUAGAGCACUGUUUCGGCUAGGGGGCCAUCCCGGCUUACCAACCCGAUGCAAACUGCGAAUACCGGAGAAUGUUAUCACGGGAGACACACGGCGGGUGCUAACGUCCGUCGUGAAGAGGGAAACAACCCAGACCGCCAGCUAAGGUCCCAAAGUCAUGGUUAAGUGGGAAACGAUGUGGGAAGGCCCAGACAGCCAGGAUGUUGGCUUAGAAGCAGCCAUCAUUUAAAGAAAGCGUAAUAGCUCACUGGUCGAGUCGGCCUGCGCGGAAGAUGUAACGGGGCUAAACCAUGCACCGAAGCUGCGGCAGCGACGCUGAUGCGUUGUUGGGUAGGGGAGCGUUCUGUAAGCCUGCGAAGGUGACCUGUGAGGGUUGCUGGAGGUAUCAGAAGUGCGAAUGCUGACAUAAGUAACGAUAAAGCGGGUGAAAAGCCCGCUCGCCGGAAGACCAAGGGUUCCUGUCCAACGUUAAUCGGGGCAGGGUGAGUCGACCCCUAAGGCGAGGCCGAAAGGCGUAGUCGAUGGGAAACGGGUUAAUAUUCCCGUACUUGGUGUUACUGCGAAGGGGGGACGGAGAAGGCUAUGUUGGCCGGGCGACGGUUGUCCCGGUUUAAGCGUGUAGGUGUGUGUUCCAGGUAAAUCCGGUUCACUUUAACACUGAGGCGUGAUGACGAGGCACUACGGUGCUGAAGCAACAAAUGCCCUGCUUCCAGGAAAAGCCUCUAAGCAUCAGGUAACAUCAAAUCGUACCCCAAACCGACACAGGUGGUCAGGUAGAGAAUACCAAGGCGCUUGAGAGAACUCGGGUGAAGGAACUAGGCAAAAUGGUGCCGUAACUUCGGGAGAAGGCACGCUGACACGUAGGUGAAGUGAUUUACUCACGGAGCUGAAGUCAGUCGAAGAUACCAGCUGGCUGCAACUGUUUAUUAAAAACACAGCACUGUGCAAACACGAAAGUGGACGUAUACGGUGUGACGCCUGCCCGGUGCCGGAAGGUUAAUUGAUGGGGUCAGCGCAAGCGAAGCUCCUGAUCGAAGCCCCGGUAAACGGCGGCCGUAACUAUAACGGUCCUAAGGUAGCGAAAUUCCUUGUCGGGUAAGUUCCGACCUGCACGAAUGGCGUAAUGAUGGCCAGGCUGUCUCCACCCGAGACUCAGUGAAAUUGAACUCGCUGUGAAGAUGCAGUGUACCCGCGGCAAGACGGAAAGACCCCGUGAACCUUUACUAUAGCUUGACACUGAACAUUGAGCCUUGAUGUGUAGGAUAGGUGGGAGGCUUUGAAGUGUGGACGCCAGUCUGCAUGGAGCCGACCUUGAAAUACCACCCUUUAAUGUUUGAUGUUCUAACGUGGACCCGUGAUCCGGGUUGCGGACAGUGUCUGGUGGGUAGUUUGACUGGGGCGGUCUCCUCCUAAAGAGUAACGGAGGAGCACGAAGGUUGGCUAAUCCUGGUCGGACAUCAGGAGGUUAGUGCAAUGGCAUAAGCCAGCUUGACUGCGAGCGUGACGGCGCGAGCAGGUGCGAAAGCAGGUCAUAGUGAUCCGGUGGUUCUGAAUGGAAGGGCCAUCGCUCAACGGAUAAAAGGUACUCCGGGGAUAACAGGCUGAUACCGCCCAAGAGUUCAUAUCGACGGCGGUGUUUGGCACCUCGAUGUCGGCUCAUCACAUCCUGGGGCUGAAGUAGGUCCCAAGGGUAUGGCUGUUCGCCAUUUAAAGUGGUACGCGAGCUGGGUUUAGAACGUCGUGAGACAGUUCGGUCCCUAUCUGCCGUGGGCGCUGGAGAACUGAGGGGGGCUGCUCCUAGUACGAGAGGACCGGAGUGGACGCAUCACUGGUGUUCGGGUUGUCAUGCCAAUGGCACUGCCCGGUAGCUAAAUGCGGAAGAGAUAAGUGCUGAAAGCAUCUAAGCACGAAACUUGCCCCGAGAUGAGUUCUCCCUGAGACUUUAGGUCUCCUGAAGGAACGUUGAAGACGACGACGUUGAUAGGCCGGGUGUGUAAGCGCAGCGAUGCGUUGAGCUAACCGGUACUAAUGAACCGUGAGGCUUAACCUU
rnacentral:rRNA from 1 species